CGUAGGCAGCGAGCGUUGUUCGGAGUUACUGGGCGUAAAGGGUGUGUAGGCGGUUCUUUAAGUUUGGUGUGAAAUCUCCCGGCUCAACCGGGAGGGUGCGCCGAAUACUGAGGGACUUGGAGUACGGGAUGGGAAAGUGGAAUUCCUGGUGUAGCGGUGAAAUUCGUAGAUAUUGGGAAGAACACCAGUGGCGAAGGCGGCUCUCUGGCCCGGACCUGACGCUGAGGCGCGAAAGCGUGGGGAGCAAACAGGAUUAGAUACCCUGGUAGUCCACGCUGUAAACGAUGGAUGCUAGAUGUUGGGGGGCUUGCCCUUCGGUGUCGUAGCUAACGCGAUAAGCAUCCCGCCUGGGGAGUACGGCCGCAAGGUUA
rnacentral:rRNA from 1 species